rnacentral:misc_RNA from 1 species
GUUUGAGGAAUUGCUGGAGAAGUUGAAGGUGAAGCCGGAUGUUGUCACGUAUAAUAUAAUGAUUAAGGGGUUGUGUGACAAGGGGGAAUUGGAUAAAGCAGCUGCCUUUGUUAAUGAGAUUGAGAAGAACGGGUUAAAGCCUGAUUUGGUUACCUUUAAUACGAUUCUUGGGGUGUUUUACUCGAAUGGUAAGUUUGAUGAUGGCGAGAAGAUGUGGAAGCUAAUGGUUAGCAAGAAUGUUGCUCCUGAUAUUAGAAGUUACAAUGCUAAGC